GGUGAACCCUCAGACAGAGUUGAUUGGGAAUGCCUGACUUCACUGGAACAACUUGGCGCGCACCUGGUAUAGAGGGACUGCCGAUAAGUUGCCAACCCCACGUGGGAACUCUUUGUCAUUCUGUCUAUCUGUUGUUAUCAUUCACUAUUAGCUCUUUAUUACUGUACCAUCUGUUUGUUGCAUUAACCUUUCUAUUAACUGUUGUACACUAAGCUAUAAGUAAAUUUGCCUUUACUUCACUCCCGUCUCGCCUCUUCGAUUCUGAACCCAGCAGCCUCAUGGCUGAUGCACUUACAGUGCCUAGCCAGCCUGUGACACCCUGGACAGUGGGAGGAGUUCAUAGAUGGGGAGGCUCAAGUGGAGCACUUUCCAUAUCUCAGCAUCCACCUCUGUCAACAGGCUACCAUUGAUGAAGGAGUCCAGCACUGGGUCAACUGUGCCAGUGCUGCCUUCUUCAAGCUGUGACAAGUGUCUUUGAAAAUAGAGAACAUUGGAAGUCAACAAAGGUCCUGGUUUAUAAGGCUGUCAUGCUGACUACCCUCCUUUACUGCUGUGAAGCCUGGACUGCCUACCAACGCCACAUUAAGACCCUUGAGAGCUUUCACCAGCAGAGCUUGCAUUGAAUCCUGGGGAUCAAAUAGGAAGACCACCAGACCAGCGGAGCAUCCUCCAUGAAGCUGUGUCUACCAGCAUUGAAGUCUUGCUCUUGAGAAAUUAACUCCAAUGGACAGGCCCCUGCAUCUGGAUGUCCAAGAACUUCCUCCAUUGCCAGAUUUUCUUCUCCCAGCUCUCUGUUGGCCACUGCUCAAAGGGUGGCCAAAGGAAAUGGUACAAAGACAUGCUCAAGGUUGCCCUCAAGCAUAGAGGCAUUGGCACAAACGGUUGGGAGGAGCAAGCUGCUGGCCAUUCAGUGUGGCACCACCUGGUCCAUCAAGGCACGUGCCACUUCAAGGCCCAACAACUCGAUACUGAGACAGAACAACAGCGGUGGAGGAAGGAGAAGGAGACCAACCCGGGGCUGUGAAUCCCACUCCCCUGUGCACCAACAUGCCCCCAUUGCCAAAGAACACGUGCAUGCAGAAUCAGGCUCCUCAGUCACCUGAGGACUCAUCAAGCCUGACAGACAUCAUCCUUGACUUUAAGGGACUGCUGAUGAGAUGAUGACAAGACUGGAUGGAAGAAAAUAACAGCAAUAAUAAUUCUUAUUUACCUUAUGGAUAUUGUGAGGAUCAAUGAAUAGGACUAGAUUUUUGCUCAAGAUAUGUCUUUACUUAUUUCAAUCAUUGAUAUCACUUUCUGAAGAACUUGAAUAUUCCUGGUAAGAUUCCCCUGAAUCCCAUAUUUCUGUGCAUACAACCCACCUCCAAAUCAAAAACACAGUUUGUUUUUGGAAGACAGAAUGUAGAAAAAAAUAUUUUUUCCAGAGUCAUGGCCAACUGUGGGACAUAGUGUAAGUCCUUCUGAAAACAGAGUAUCCAGAAAGUGUAACAUCAGGGACUUUCUGGUAUGGCAGACUGUCUCUUUCAAUGCCAUAUAUCCUGGACACACUAUUUUCUAGGAGGACUUACUCUAUGUCACACAAGGUUAGGCCCUAGAUCCUUGCAAAGGGCAGUAGCAAGGCUAUUAGUUCUUCAUUGUAUGUAGCUCUUUAUAUAAGUUCCUGUAAAUAAAGUGUUUCCAUGUCACAAACCUCAUCAAGAUAUUACCGGCAGAUCACUUGCUGCUUUGGGCAUAAGCUAUACUUCUCAGUCAAUAGCUAUGGCUGUGGAAGGGGUAACACAAGGCUCCAACUUCAGGCUGCUGAGAAGAUACAAGUGACAGCCAUCUUGGUACCCACAUGGCAUGUACAGUGUCUCCAAGAGUGCUCCUUUUUUAGUGAAGAAGAGCUUACAGGUUCACACAAACAAGGUGAUUUGGGGGAAAGAUGCAUGUUGUAUGUGAGAAAAUAUGGUAUAUGGACCAGUGCCAAGCAACUUCUGUUUGACAUCUAAAAGGGCUCUAACAAGGUUGAGCCAAUAUGGGCCAAAUGAACUAUGUUCCUGUAACAUGCCAUCUUAUUUCAUUGAUCUUAAUGUCAGUACUCAGUCUAUUCAGAAACUACAGGUUUUACACUGUAGAUGUUAUAGGCUAAUGUAGUCAAUGCAGUUCAGAUGGGUUGCUUGCUGAAUCUUGACUCCUUCAGGGGUUCAUUAAAAUAUGUUAUAUAACAUUGCUAUAGUGGAUAUAUCAUUAUAUUAUAUCAUAUUAUGUGAUCAUUAGAAUAGUGUAGAAACUUUAUAUGCUUAUUGUAAUAUCAGUUUUCACUGCUGGCCUAAAAUUGUAAGUCAUCACUCAUAUAACAAGCCCUCACUUAACUAAGUGGUCCUGGGUAUGACCCUCCAACUGGAAGGCCUGGUGGCAAGGUGGUGGAAUUACUUGUGGCGGGGUAGCUCCUAUAAAAUACCACAAUGUUUUAAGCUCCAGAGUAAGGUGAGUAUAGGGCACCUCAAAACACUAGUCCCCACUGCCUUGUGGGUACUGCUUGGUUGGAGAAAGGCUAAGGGACAUCACCCUGACAAAAAUCACCCUCACUCAGGUGUUAGGCAGUCAGCAGCGGUCCUUACCUGUAGCUUUCUGGCAGAAACUAUAACCAUUGAGGCACUGAACAUCUGGACCUGGUCUGGCCUUUGGAUUCUGGUUCAAUGGUCUAAAGAGGGGUAUGGUAAGUCUUGGGCAGCCUCCACUCCUCCAUAUUCUUGCCUAGGUGUACAUGUUGAAGGUCUUGGUAUGAUGAUCACAGAAUUCCUUACAAGCAGAUUAAUCAGGUACCUGACUAGACCUUUUACAUGUAUACUAUGAAUCAAAGGAUCGACAGUUGCUUACUGCUCAAGGAAAUUACUCCAUUAAAAUGAAUUUGACUACUUGCUCUCAAUAAAGACUUCUCAUAGAGGUGAAUAUUUGUAGUAUUGGAUUGCACAUCCUGUCUGAGAACUAGUAGGAUUUGCACAUUGCUCAAGCAGAUGUGCUCACUGCUUUUAGCUGCUGUACAUUUUUAAUUAAGGGAAUUAAAGUGAUUGUCUCAUAGGACUGAGAUCAGGAAAGAGUUCACUAAAUAUACUAUGCAGUCACAUCUCCCUUGAAAUUGCUUGAUGGUACUUAUUGAUGCUCUUGGCUGUAUUGUUCCUUAUCCACUAAUUGUCUUUUCAUCACAGCAUUAUAGGUUAAUGGAUUUAGCAGCUGGUUAAGUACAGUAUAUAUGUUUCUUGGCCUUUGUUCAGAGUUGCUUUAGCUCUUUUGAAACCCUGAUUUCCAGCUGGGAACAAAAGCAAUGUUGAAUGUCCUCAGCAGACAGCUAAGGAUACAGUUUAAUUAGCGUACUUUGAUCUUCUGUGUGGUGGCUGAUGAUUUACUACAGCUUGCAGCACAGUGAGACAAUAAUAUUUCAUGGUCAUUAUGACAGUAUCCUUUGAGCUUGAGCUAUCAUUAAAAGUAGAUUGAUUAUAAUGGGAUUUUGUGAAGCUAAGCAAACAAGAUAAAAUUAAUGUUUUAUCCAAAAGAGUGUAAGAAGGGAGAAAUUCGUAAUAAAAAAUAUUGGAUCAAAUUCUGGCUACAUUGAAAUCAACAGCCAAAUUCCCAUUGACUGUGUUAGGUGUAGGGUUUCAUUUAUAGAGUAUUCCAGACUCUGAGUAACCUGGCAGAUUUUUGGAUGGAUGCAAGAUGCUUAGGGAAAAUCCUCAUGUUUAUCUUGUGGUAGCAUCACCACUACAACAUGUAUGAUUAAAGAAACACUAAUUACAAUGCAGAAAGCAAAUCUUCACUUGCGUUGGCUCCACUGUCUAUAAGCAGGAGUCCAAGACAGUCAGCUGGUUGUACUUGAGUAUAAAAACUGAGACACUCACAAUCCCUUUGGUCCUGUUUGCUGUCCAUUCCUCUAGGACAGUGGUGCUCAACCUAUGGCCCAUGGGCUGGAUCUUCCCUAUGGAACUGUCAUCCAGCCCUCCAGAGCCAUGGCAAUAAAUGCUGCCAUCACUUCCCUGCUGCCAAAUUUCCACACCUGUGGGGAGCCCCAUGGGCUGGAUGGCAUGGCCCUGCACACCAGAUUGUGUGGGCGCAUGGUUGAGCUGUGGCUGGACCUGGCAUGCAGGGUUGUGCUGGCAUGUGUGGUCACAUUGCAGUCGGAUCUAGUGUGCGGGGGUGUGCCAGAUCACCUCCUCAGACAGGCCCCAUGCUGGUUCAGGCCCAUGAGUGGAUUUAGCCUGCACAGUGGCCUCACACCUCUCAUCCAGUUGGGUGCAGUAGGAGGGAGAGGAGGCUGACUGGGCACAUGUGCAGGCUCUCAGCACACGUGUGCCCCCCGCAACGUACCUGAGGCAAUAGAGGCUGAGAAGCAACAGCAGGGGCAGCAGCAGCUGACCCCCCAAAGGUAAGUGGGGCAGGAGCUGAUGCAGUUGCAGAGGAUCCAGAGGGGAAGCCCCUGGAUCCCUCUUUGCUAAGCCGGGCAGGGAGCCACACUCCUGAGCCACACACAAACAGAGCACGCAAACACGUGCGCUCUGUAAGGGUGUGCUUGCAUUUGCACGAGGUGGGCGCACAAAGAGUAAGUAACAAGAAGUAGCACCUAGCAAGAGCAAUGAUGACUCGAAGCUCAGCAGCUAAGGUAAGAGCAGCUAAGGUAAGAGCACGGGAUGCAGCUGCAGCUCAGAUGGCAGUGCCCACCCGUGGUUCCUCUGAGGUGUCCACUCAGACAGAGCUCUGCGCCCCCUGUCUGCAGGGGUGGCCUGGCAGUGACCUUGCCAUCAGGGGAGGGAGGGAGCCCCCUCGCCUGUCCCUCAUGUGCCCAUCUUUGGGCCUUGGAGGAGCAGGUGAGGGAACUCCAGGAGGCAGUGGGCAGGCUAAGGGGGAUCAGGGAUGAUGAGGCUGUGAUUGAUGGGUAUUUCCAUUCCUUACAGCUCCAGAUGCCCACAGGUGAAACUCAACGUGAGGAGUCUACAGCAGGGGAGUGGAGGACAGUCACCUCUGGAUCCAGGCGGCGGGGCCUGGUGUCUGCUUCCCCAUUGCAUGUGGGGAACGGAUACGGGGCCCUGACAACAGUGGAAGAGACAGAGGAGGAGCAUUUUCCUGCAGAGGAGGUGAUCCUUGUAGCCCCUACUGGGCAGGCUGGGGGAUCACUGCCCAGGCAGAAGAAGAAACGCCGUGUGAUUGUGGUGGGUGACUCGAUCCUGAGAGGCACGGAGAGGCCGAUCUGUCGACUGGAUCCUGUGGUGAGAGAAGUCUCCUGCAUGCCUGGAGCUAAGAUCAGGGACAUCACUGAGGUGAUUCCUGCUCUCAUUAAGCCCUCUGACUACUACCCCGUGGUCCUUGUCCAUGUGGGAACCAAUGAUGCAGCUAGGACCAGCCCUGACCGCAUCAUGAAGGACUUCCAUGAACUGGGAGACAAACUCAAGAAGACUGGAGCAUAGGUUGUAUUUUCUUCCAUCCUUCCGGUUGGCAGCAGCUGGAGAUGCCAGGGUGCCUGCAUCAAGGAAGUCAACCGGCAGCUCCAGAGUUGGUGUCUUCAGGAGAGCUUCAGAUUCUACAGCCAUGACCAGCACUUCCAGGGAGGAGGCUUCCUGGGAGCUGAUGAUCUUCAUCUCUCUCUGAGAGAAACCUCCUGAAGAACCCAUGGCACUGAGCAUGGCUAUAUUUUAUCUAUCUGCUAGAUUGCAGAUGGACAGAUAAAAAACAUUUGCUGGAAGAUAUCUGGGAUCUUGGACUGGAAGUAUUUCUGCAGUUGCUGGAAGAUGAUGUUUUCACAGGCACCAAAAGAGAAAAUAGUUCAGUGGUUCAAGACUGCUAACUAUUAAAAGUGUUUAUUCACAAAGAAAAUAAAGUCCAGUGACAUUUUCCCAGUAGAUGCUCUUUUUUGCUUCCACCAAAAAAAAAAAAAUCUUUCUCCUUUUGUUUGGUAAUGUGGUAGAGUUAAAUAUUACUUGCAAGCAGAGUUAUGCUGAGGUCUAUUAAACCUUUCUUUUUCAGAAUUUUAUACCAGAUAAGGCCAGAAGGGACCAUUGUGGUCUUCUAGACUGAUGUCCUGUAUAACUGAAGCCACUGGAAGUCUCUAAAAUAAUUUUUGUUUGAACAAGCCCAUCUUUUUCAAAAGCGUCCAGUCUUCGUUGAAACAUUUCUAGUGAUGGAGAAUUUACUGCAGCCCAUGGAAAUUGUUCUCCAAGGGUGAUAAAUAACACUAUUAAAAUAUAUGACUGAUUCUUGUCUGAAUUUGUCUAGCUUGAGCUUCUGGCUGCUGGAAGUUACCAUAGAUGUGUUGAGGAACUCUGUUAUCAAAUGUUUGUUUCUUCUGUGGGUACUUACGGGCAUAUAUCUAGGCUUACAGGCAGCCACCACCACCAUUAAGCCAGCAGGAUGCAUACAUGUACUUUUGGGCUAAGUACAGAUAGUUAAAAAGCCAGAGGCUGAAUUGAUUCAAUGUAUGCAAGCUUCUCUAAACUGUAGAUUGAACCGAUAAUGAGGUGAACUGAUAUUCACUUUUGAAAUGGGAAAGGCAGCCAGACCCCUAUAGUGGCUCACAGCAGAAGCCAGGGCAUGCUAGAGCAUGCCUCUCAGCCUGCCAGCUACUUCUGAGGGCAGGGGAAUGAACCCCAGUGGGGCUCAUCCUUGACUGGCUGCCCAGCACCACCCCCACAAGCCCUUGCUGUCUCUGCCGGAGGUGGGGUGGGGAGCAGGACAGUCCCUCCAGCCUGGAGCUGGGGCUGGGGCUGGCUGGAUCUUAGCCUCAGUGGGGGUUCCAUGUUUCUGACAGGUUCCCCUGGGCCCUGCCCCAGUGCAAAGAGGGGAUUUGCCCUUCCCACCCCGCAGUAUGGUCCCACACAGGCUUGGCCCUGCCCCCAUGGGUGGGAGGAAAUAGUCCCUCCAGCCCAGGGAUGGCUGGAUCCCUGUUCCGGGACGUGUUCCCUCCCUUCCCCCCUCCUCUGCCCCUCAGAGGCAAGGGCAGCUGGUGAGGGAGUAGGGCUAAGGAAUCCCAGCCCAGCUCUCUAGACCACAGUAGGGGGUGGGCUUCCCCCACUGUGCUGUGCAGACCCCAGCUGGGGGUUACUGUGCUCCCCCCCCCCCCAGCUCCUCAGAGGUGAAGGCAGCUGGUGGAUAGGGCUAAGUUGAUUCUAGCCCAGCUCGAGGGUCUAUGCAGGGUAAGUCCCAUGGAGGGGAGUUUCCCUCCCCUUGUGCUGUGCAGACCCAGGUUAGAGGGUGCUUGGGGUCCAUUCCUCUGCACCCCCACCCCAUCCUGCUGUGUUAAUAGGCACAGACAGAGGUUAGGGACCAGAGGUUUACUGCCUCAGCUCUGUUACAGCAGGGGGCCAGGACCAGCCCUGCUCUGCUUGACCAUACUGCACAGCCCAGGGCUGCAAAGCAUCUUGGGAUUCUGGGAGACUGUGAACUAAAUUAAACUGAGAGGGGAUCUGGGACAGAAGUUCAAUAAACCAAGUUAACCUAACCCAGUUAAAAGUGAUAUUAGUAAAUGUUUAGGAUUGUGAAUCCAAAAAAGAUAACAAAGCCGGUAGAGAAAUACAUAUCGCCCGAGCGAGGGACUAACAUUAGAGGGAUGAGGGUGAGUAGGGGAACGCAACUAGGUUACAGGAGAAACAAUGGGUCAUCCAUCUACAUCCAUCCAAGUUUAUCUUAGACCAGCUUCGGCCAUUUUGAAAGUGGUUUAUGUGCACUGAACUUCUAUUCUGUUAUAGGUUUAACCAAGUUUCUGAUCACUCAACGCAGUUCAUGUGUAACUUCUGUCCCUAGCCAAGAAGGAGUUGAUAAGCAGGGAGUUUCAUUUACUAGGCUUGAGCUUUACUGGCAUUUCUACACAGUUGCCAAAGGAGCUUGUACAUAGGGCUUUUGUGCAUCAUGCCUGCUUUAGGAAGUGCUGUGCCUUUCUCUUUCAGUUUCCAGAGCAUUAGAUUUAACAACAGCUUUUAAAGAAACUGGGAGACUUUACAAACUCCUCUGCAUUUGCAAUAGUGAAAUAUGAAAAAGAAGCAAAGAAAAGAAGGGUAAUAUUUCCCACAAUGGAAGAUAAAGGAGUUUAUUAAAAUGUGCAGAGCAAUAAUUUGAGAGAUCCCCUGAGAAUAUUUUAUUAGUAUCUUCCAUUCCCUGUAUAUUUUAACUUUGCUAUUUUAUUUAUACAUAAGGCAUGACUCAAAAUCACAACCAGAUUGUGAAGUCAGCAUCCUGAAGAGGACUCAAGUUUGCCACAUUAAAUAAGUGAAGAUACUUAUCACCUUGUGUUAAUUUGUUCAGAGAAUAUUAUUAAGGUUAUUGCAACCCCUUUAAAUUCUAAUCCAAUUUAUGCACACUGGUCCUUUAGAGUAUUUUCAAUUCUUAAUGUUCAAAUUGGCAGCUACAUGGGACUUGCAUGAUAAACCAUGCAUUAGGCAGGGCUGUUUUUUAUCAACAGUAUUCCAAUAAAGUCAUUUAAAACUG